AAGAAACCCUACUCGUUCUCUUCCGGUGCUAUACGUUUAUCAGAAUAAAGGUCGAAUCUUGCAAAAUAUCAUUCUUGAAAGCAUUCAUUGUUCAUACUUUUGUCUUACGUCAAAGUUAGACAUCUUGCAAUUCAUAAAUUUUCAUGCUUGACAACUCUUUUAGAUAAGAUUGAUGUUCCUCUGAAUAUCAACAUUUAAUUUUUUUUUUUUUAGUAAGUUGUACCGUCGAUACCGAAGAACUUUGAUUCCUUUCUCAGGAAGGAAUAGGAUUGGGUUUAACUCUUGUCGAUACUGAAUUUUUUUACAUUGUAAUCACAAGGAAUGAUGAAGAGCGCGCGCACACAUAUAUUGAAUAUUCUGCACAUCUGAUAUCAAACACACUAAAUUCUAGCAGGUCCAAGGUACAGAAGUUUACGAUGUAACUGAGAUAGAGAUCAUCAAUUGUGAUGAUGAUCAAGUGGAUUUAUUUAUUCAACAUGACAACAACAUAAGAAGAGCACUCGAACUGAGUACUCAUUACAUGCUUCCCCUGUUUAUUCUACACCAGUUCAAAGAGAAGUCUUUUACACAUAGAGGAAAUCAACCAUCAAAAGCAAACACAACAUUACAUAUUAAGGUAAUAAUAUAGGCGUCACGGAUCCUGUGUCACACCCUUAUUUAUUUAGCAUUAAUUUUUGACCUCAUCUCCAGAUGUAGCUUCAGGGGUCUCCUCAGCGGUUGCGCAGCAUCUUUGGCAUUGUCCAUGGUACCAUCUGCAGCAACGAUAUCUGCAACGAUCUGCAGAUAUAGCUUCAGGGGUCUCCUCAGCGGAUGCACAGCAUCUUUGGCAUUGUCCAUGGUACCAGCUGCAGCAACGAUAUCUGCAACGAUCUGCAGAUAUAGCUUCAGGGGUCUCCUCCGCGGAUGCACAGCAUCUUUGGCAUUGUCCAUGGUACCAGCUGCAGCAACGAUAUCUGCAACGAUCUGCAUUUACGGUAGCCUUAUCUCCAGAUGUAGCUUCAGGGGUCUCCUCCGCGGAUGCACAGCAUCUUUGGCAUUGUCCAUGGUACCAGCUGCAGCAACGAUAUCUGCAACGAUCUGCAUUUACGGCAGCCUUAUCUCCAGAUGUAGCUUCAGGGGUCUCCUCAGGAGAUGCACAGCAUCUUUGGCAUUGUCCAUGGUACCAGCUGCAGCAACGAUAUCUGCAACGAUCUUCACUUAUCUUAUCCUGAUGAGCCUCACCAGUGGUCUUCACGCUCGCCUGAUCUGUUUCGAUACACAAGGAGACAAAAAUAUUAGGAGCUUCAUCUUAAGCUGCAAAGAGUUGAGUGACCUGCUGGGCUGAAGAUUUGCAAGAUACAUGCAAAGAAAAGAAUAUUAUGGAUUAAACAAAAUAGUCUACUUAUAAAAGAUGGUGCGACUUGGAUAUGAAUUAUUUUGCCUUAUAGUCCACUCAAUAAAUUAGAAUUAGUAUUAAUUAAUUUGGUUUUCGACUUUACUUUAAUCUUUAUCGUGAUAAACAAUAGUGUGAUAUAAUGUAACGUGUGUGCCUGGAGUUAUACUAUAAGGAUGAAAAAUCAGCUGUUCCACUUACCGUUGAUACAAACAACCAAAAUUUACUUUUAUUAAACAAUGAAAUAGAUAUUAGGAAACUAAUAUAACUUCCUUGAUACGAUACAAAUAGCCUACCAUAAAAAUUCACGUCCCAAUAAUGAAUCUCCUAAUCACCAUUCACUUGAGUAUUUAGGUGUAGCAAAAGAAAAAUCGUAAGAGAUAAGUAAAAAAAAGAAAGACUAGGUACCUGCAGCUGUAACAUCAGAGGGGAUUUGGAGUGCAAGUGCAAAGAGAACAACAAAAAAAAGAGCAAAUUUUUUGAAGAUGCCAUUUGAUCACAAUCUCACUCAGAAUGCAAAUGACGUGUUAUAUUUGUUGAUAUCUAGCGAUAUGUGCAUUGAGUUGCAUCCCUAUUUAUAAGAACUAGGAGGGGAAUACUGUACCUUGUGUGGUGGAAAUAUUUUAGGGAUAAUUUCAGAAACCCCUUUAAGGUCUUUAAUAAUUUUAAUUAGCAGCCUCUUAUUUCCAAUAAUAUAUGGGGUAAUUUUAGAGACCUCCCUUGAGGUUUGUAAUGAUUGCACCUACCUCCCUUGAGGCUUGAAAAAUUAUAAAAUCUCCCCUAUAAAGUAUGUUUUGGUAACAAAUGGUGAUGCAAGUAUAAAAAGUCUAAUGAACAUCCUAUAUUGCCCCUAUUUAAUUUACAAAACAAGUUAAAUGCCAAAAAUAUCAAAUAUUAGUGUUUCUUACUAAGUAAAAAGUUUUAAGAUAGUUCUUUGCAAAAAAAAAAAAACAUUUAGGCUAUAUUUCAAAGAUUCCUUUUUUAAUAUUUGGACAUCUAUUUUCUUUGCUAAGUAAGUUGUGAAGAAACUAUUUUUAACAAAUGCAUUCCUACUAGUCAGCUUUUUAUAAAACUAAGUAAGAAUUCCAUUUAAAUGACCUAAAAGUUGAAUAUAAUGUAUUAGGAGAGAUGAGAUUAAAACUUUUGGAUAAAGAAAUAUUUGAAAAAUGUGAUUUCCUUUUUUUUUAUACUCACUUUUCACUUAGGAUUUGUAGAGUUAUCAAAGAUAUUAUAAUCUUUUUAUAACACCAAGGAAAGUAAGUGUAAUUUUUUAAAUUUCAAGGGAGGUAGCAGCAAUUGUUAGAAACCUCAAGGGAGGUUUAUGAAAUUAUCACAUAAUAUAUUGACCUCCCUUCUCAUGUUGAUGGACCUACUGUCAAUAUCAUCAAGGAAAAAUUGACCAUAAUGGUCUCACUAAAAUGGCUUUUUAAACAUUAUCUUAGAAGCAAAAUAUCAUCUACCAACAAGCGACAUGCCAUCAAAACUUGGUGCCAAAUUUUAACAACUUUACUAAAAUUAAUUUCUCUGCUGGUUGGUGAGCCUUGGAGAAGAGCUUUAGGACCGGAACCUUAAGCUCCAAAAGUAUCUCAUUGGGUGAAGGAAGGUUGCUGCAAAAAGUGUGUUAUUAGCUAUAUUCCUUGACAUCAAUAAAAGGUAAAAGAUCGAUGGAAACUUUUUUAAUUGGAUGUCGAUAUUCACAACAAAAAUGAUGUACCGAUGGAAGUUUAUGGUCUUCAUGAUUGAUAUGCUACCCUGAAUAAACUAGUUGAGUUGAUAAGAUUGAUAUGCUACGAUGAAUAAACUAGUUGCGUUUAUAAGAUGGACAUUCUGGUCUUAAGAUAAUGUUUGAGAUAUAGCCAAUGGACAUGAUGAGUCAUUUAAGGUCACAUCAAGAAUAUCUCGAUCUUAUAUGAGAAAUUUAUGAUGGACAAUGCCGUGCAUGCUGGUUCUUUAUAUAGUGUGAAAAUGGAUGAAGUAUACAUAGUUUGGUGAACUAAGUAGGCCGAAUCGAUUUUGAUACAUGAGUAGGACUUUCUGAUUGGUUGCUCAUUUUUUCAUAUGUAGUUUGAAAAAAUUAUUUUGACUGAUUACUUCGUCGAUAAAGAUAUAGUAGGACAAUCUCCCAAAAUAAGUUUCUAUGGCGUUUCUUUGUUGAAUCAGAGAAUUUCUAUGGUGAAAAUUUUAAUCUUAAAGUAGGUUGAACUAAUUAUUUGGGGGGAAAAUUUUAGAUAGUAAGUGACUGACUCACUCCUCAUAGUCGAAAAAAGAUAAGUUUACGUGGCUAAUUACUUUGCUAAUAAAGACCAUUUAUACUACUUUAUCUGGUCUUGGGAGUUCUGUUCAAUAAAUUGGAAUUAUUAUAAAUAAGAAUAAGCUAGCUCUAGCAAGAACUAAAUCAUUAAAGUACUUUCCCUAGGGGCUUUGGGCGGAAGGGGGAACGUAGCGAUUUGAGACUGAUCUUGAGCCUAGGUUGAGGAUGGAACUCCUAUAGUAUAGCAAUUGAUGUGAAACAAAGGCUACAGCUGGAUACGAUCACCUCCAAAAGUAAGUUUCUGUACCAUCUCUUUGUUGAGUUCUUAUGAUGAACAUUUUUGAGGGAAAAUUAAUCUUCAAUUAGCUUGGGUAACAUUAUCGUGAGUGAGUUAGGUUUCUACAGUAGAAAAAGAAACAUGUUGAUAGUAUAAACUUAUUUAGUUAGAUUACUUUGUCUAUGCCUUUAUAUGUUGACCACCAAUUCAAAUUUACCAUGAAUGUGGAUGAGAACUAUUUCAGCUCAUGGCAUUAUUGUGCAUUAUUUUUUUUUAGCUGCAGUGCAUAUUUCACUGCUCUACAAAAUUGCUUCCAGUUACGAAGAUUUUAGUGACAAUGGUCUCUUCAUUUUGUUCAUUCACCAAGACUUUUACGCUAUUUUCGUUCCAAAGCAACAGCACAGUUAGCAAUGGUUACGUGAUUCUAACUGUCAAAGACUUAAAAAGGGCUCUGUUGUGCUUUUGCCUCCAACCACAUAAAAAUUAAACCACUUCUUCUUCUUCUUUUCACUGCCCUUUUUCCAACUUAAAUAUGUUACAAUAUUUCUUUUAGGGCCUAUACCAAUAAGUGUAUAUGUGGAAUAAAAUGUGAUGAUAUACGUUUCUUUUACUGACAUGGGCUGAAUUUGUUACAAAACUAGUUAAAGAGUGGUCAGCCUAACACUGAAAAUAAGAGGGGUACUAGGUGAAGUUGUCCAAAACUUCAGGGAGGUUUAUGAAAUUAUUCCAAUUGUUUAGGUGGCUGAGGCUGUUACUUGUACAAGAGUGACACUCCUUCUCAUAUUCGUCAGAAUAUUCGUCAGAAUUCCCCACUUCAUUCGUCAUGUAGUCCUCCAUAUGUCUCGAAGUCUCCGGAUUUAUUGUCCUUAUACAAAAGUUACAGUCUUUCUUGACUAUGAAAGUUGACGAUUGAGCUAAUCAUAAUUAAGAAAUGUGGCAAUUUUUCUAACUCUGGAUACUGGAUAGGAUAUCAAUCUCCUUUUUGCUGGAUGGCUUCCAUUUUCAUCUGUCUAUAGGUCAGUCUCCACUUCCCACGUUCAAUGAUUUUGAUUAAGUUGCUGUCAUAGAGCUUUCUUAUCUCUAUCGAGAUUAAUGUAUAUCAUGAGCAGUCCAUUCAAAUCUGUUGUGCGAGUUAGGGGAUGGAACGAAAAGCUAAAAAGCAGUCCAUUCAAACUUGAAAUCAUAUUUUUGAACAUGAAAGAAGCAGUUGCGACAAGUCUUUUUUUAAAUUUGUUUUUAGAAUUCUUUGCACUCAAGAAUUAUCACAAUCAGAGGCAUUGUCAAGUUAAACUUCAAUGGUCUAACUAGGCUACCUACAAAUUAUGUUGUUAAGUUUAGAAAUGGGGCCCUUGGUUGAUUUUUUCAGAUCUUAUCUAGUUCAGUGUCCUGUAGGGAAAUUUUGAAUGGGUGAGAAGAUCAUGUAAUCUUGGAAUUAUUUAGCUCGGCACAUUGUUUAGUUCCCGCGGCACAUUGUUUAGCUUGGCAAUCUGGGAAUUAUUCAUCUCCUCAGUUUUGGAGGCAUUUCCCUCAAUGUGUUUUGCCCAGCCUUUAUGGUUGAUUUAAAUCAUGAAUCAAUGAAAUUUUAUGUCUUAUAAAAAUAUAUAUAUAUAUAUUUAUGAAUCUUGUGGCAAAGUUUAUAUUUUACAUUGUUUGUAUUCGUAAUUCUUACUAUAUUUGGUGUAAAAUUAUAUAAUUUGAGUGUAAAAUGAAAUUUGUCAGCUUAUAACUAAAUUGGUGUAAAAUUGACGAUGACACUAAAACUAUACAAGUUUACACUAAAUUUAGUAAAAAUUCUAUAAACUAAUUUAAAUUAGACAGUACCGGAUCCCACAUCAUCCGCUAGCUCAUGUUCCUUGAGUACAUGGUCAUGGAUUGUGGGAACGCAACAAUGGCAGAGGCGAAUGUCCUGUUGGGAUUGUAAUGUGGAAGGAAUUCUAUAAACAGUCAAGGGGUAUUUGAUUAUAAAAAGGAAAAAAUUUACAAAUCAAUACAGUGAUAAUAAUAUGUAUGAUUAAUUUAACUUCUUUAAACUUUAAGUUGAAAAGACUGUAAAGAUUUUGUGCAUCAUGCGUGCUACAGGCUUUCAAAAAAAGAAAAGAGAACUCACUAAAUUGGAGUCUUUAAGACACAGAAAAAAUCAUAGCAAUGAACAGCUUGUCAUUUUUAAAGAAUUACCAUUUUGAAAUCAUAAUUUACGUUCAUAUAUAUAUAUAUGCUUAAUUUGUCACAGGCUACAAGAAUUUGUAAAUGCACCAUCAAUAUACUUAUCUAUGAGUGCAUUUAAUAGACUAAUGUAAAAGUAUGUUCUCUCAUCCAAUGGAACAUUUUCAAUCUUCACCAGCCUCUGCAGCUUUUCAUGUAUAUGGUCCUGCAAUCCUCUGCUGAAGUUUUACUUUCAGAACCCUGGAAAGAUCUACCUUCCUUACCUUCUUGAAGGUAAAAAGAGAAAAACAAAAAACAAAAGAAAAAAGAAAAUAAAUAAAAAUUCUUCUACUCCAAUGAUUCUUGUACUUAGUAACCGGGAGUCUUCAUCUACAAAUGCCGACUUUCGCGUAAAACGCUACUUGAAUUAAGAGUAUGCAAAGCAACUUGAGUAUGUGAAGUGUUGAGUAACCGGUGAUCUUCAUCUAAAAAUGUCGAUCCUCGCGUCAAAAGGCAUUCUCACGUCUUAAGUAAUAUUUAGAUAUGUAAUAUUAAUAAAUAUCUUUUUAAACAGAAUUAAAAGAUGAUCAUGAGUUUAGGAAGCAUUAUUAUUGACCAUAUGAGUUACUUACUUGUAAGAUUGGGUAAGGAUGAAAAAUUGAUUUGAAUUUGUUAUAAUAACGGUAUAAUUGGCUCUCCUUUACUUGAUAUUAUGAGUACUUGAACUUAAUUGAAUAAUUGCAUAAUGGUUAUUUACUUUGUUUUGAGGAAAUGAAGUUGAAAUGCUACAUAUGUUUAUUUUCAAAUUUUGGAUCAUUGUUGGUUUGUAUUUUUAUUGCUUGAGGACAAGCAAUGAUUCAAGUGUGGGGGUAUUUGAUAAGAGUUUAUUUUACGUAUUUUUUAGUGUGUUUUAUUAGUUAAUUUUGGUUUGAUUAUUUAGUUUUAUAACUAAAAUAACUAAGGUUUUGGUAAAAAACUACAUUUUAUGUUAAAGUGGCUAAAUAUUGCAUUUUAUGGAUUUUUAUGGGAAAAACUUCAUAUUUUGUAGGUUUAAUGAUUCAAUCAUCAAAUGAAGUGCAUUGAGAAGAUAUUUGGAUGAUUGAAGAUGGAUUAAAGUGAGGAAAAUAAAAAAUGAAGUGUAAAAGGAAGAAAUGCAAUUUGAGGACAAAAAUCAAGAAAAGUCAGCUUUCACAACUCAGACACAUUUUCGUAUUUUGACUAUAUCAGGAGCUACAAUGAUCGGAUCAAGGUGAUCUUGGUACCAUUUUGAAGCUAAGAGAUAUAUCUACAUUUGGUAUGAAGACAUCAAAGUCCAAUUCAGCCGUUUUCUUGGUCAAAAGGUCGAAACACAGAAACUUAUCUGGAUGGUCGAAAGCUGAAGCCCAGAAUUGACCAGUCUAUAGUAUUUUGACCAUAUCUCAGUCCACCGAUCUCCAAAUUAGAUGAUUCUUGAAGCAUUGGAACUCUAAUUCAAAGGGCUACAACUUUUGUGUUUUGCACAAAAGCCAGUUCGGCCUUCAUCAUGGAGAAAAAUGCAGUUGAAGUGAGGUCAAAAGUAAAAACGUGUAUGGCAGCCGAAUUUCUGUAAUUUGCUCAGACAUUUUUCUCAUCUUCACACUACUUUCCAGCUAGAGUUGGAGAGAAAACGUAGGCUGCACAUGCUUCAGAAGACAUAAGGAAGAGAUAUAGCCAAGGUUCCAAGUCAAAAGCCAUUAUUUUUUACUCCCUUAACAAAUCCAGAUUUGGAGAAUCAAAGUGGAGAGUCAUAGCAGAAAUUUAUGACUGGUAAGGGAAGGACUUUUCAUCAGCUUAUAUGUAGAGACAUUUGAGGUCUAUGAGGAGAGAGGAAUCAUACGGGAGAAGCUUGAAGAGUGCAGAAAUGUAGUUCUUCCAUUUCCUUAGUGUAGGAUAGUGUAGUAAGUGUAGUUCAUCCAUUCUUGUAUACUAUCUAGAUUAGGAUGAAAAUGGAGAUGAAGAAAGAGAAGUUGAAGCUCAAGUGACAUGGGUUAUCUCUUCUCCAACUCUUUAUCUUUUGUAUUGGAUUCUUAAAUAUAGUUAAUAUACAAGUUCUGGAAUUUAUGUUAUUUAUGUGUCUUUAAAGUUUAUACCUUGGGUUUGGUUGAACUUCCUAUGAUUGUUAGUGUUUAUUAUUUGGCUAUUUGAUUGCUAGUAUUUGAGCAAGUUAUUUAGCACUUUGGCUCUUGAAAUCAUGAUUAAUCUGGUACCAUUAAUUCUGAUUAUCUAAGGUGUUAUUUCUGCAAUGAAAAUUGAGAUUUAACAUUAGUUCAAGAAGUGCUAAACAUAGGGAGUACACUCACGAAAGUAGAGGUGUACCUAUGUGGUUUUUAGUGAUUCAUUUCAUGUAAUUUCACUGAAGAAAUGAACUUGUAGCUAAUUUCAUAACCAUGAGAAUAGGUAUGGAUCAGUUAUAAGUAUAAUUGAUUCACUGCGAAAGUAGGAUUCAAAUGCAUAAGGAAAUUACACCAUAAUUAGCCUAGAUGUAGUAUUCAAUGAUCCAAAUAUAAUACUUGCAUGAGUAGUUAGGGAUACCACAACCUAAGGAGCUUUUAUUUGUUAAUUUCUUGUAUAAGUGCAGUAGGUUAAAUUUCUUAUCAUUAAUUGAUAGUCUAAAUAAUAGAGAAACUUUAGUAAUACCGGUAAUUGUUCACUCUUCCUUGUGGGAUCGACCCGAUAUAUACCCUAAACUACUAGUUGAUCUGUAUACUUGCAGUGAACGGGUGUAAUUCGGUAUUUUUUAGCUUGCACGUAUGUAAAAUACCCGUCACCUAUCUCAGUAGCAACUGGCGUAAUUGGGUUUAUGACAGGGGAACAUACGAUCUAAUUUAAACAAACCCUCGUAGCGUGUUUGUUAGUUAGGAUUGGGCCUUUCUAAUUAUUAAUGCAAAUCUAGAAAUUAAAUCCUACGGUCGUACCUAGGGUUGUUUCCUGGUUAGAGAAAUAGUCAACGGUCGUACCUUGGCUAUCGACAAAUUAAGGAAGGGUUGGUUGUUUAUCGCGUGCAUGACAACUAUAACUAAUCUAUUAAUAAAUGUGGAAUUAUCUGUGAAUCAAUGAUCAGUGCCUGAACCAUAUCUGAAGUGUAUCCUUGGCUAGAGUUUCUCCAAUAAUUAUUCCUUUUAUUUAUUUUCUGCAUUUAAUUUAUUUAGUUAGCAUUUAAUCCAAAACCCCCACAUACCUUGGACUCUAGAAGAAACGAAUUAUCCCCAGUCCCUGUGGAUUCGACCCUACUCACCGCUAUAUACAAAAUCUGUAUUUUUCUCGAGUAGGUACUUAUUAUUGCACAGGUUCGGCACCUGUCACCUUGGUUGACAAUUUGUUUCCCUGAGCAUCCAUCAACACUUUUAUAUAGUAUUAGAUUAGAUUAGAUUGUCAAUGCACCAUCAAUAUCCUUAAAUAUAAUAGCUUAAGUAUAGUAAUCAAAAUACUGUUAGUAAUCUGUAUGAUUAUUUUUGAUCCUUUAAUGUUUUAGUUUUAGGAAGAUCACAAAUGCUGCGUAUAAAGCAUGCCAUAGGCUAAAUUAAGAUAAAUUAAGUACAUUGCUAAAAUGGAGAGCAUUGCUAAAUUAAGUACUUUAAGAUAAAGACAUAAGCAGCCAGAUCCAUUUGAUGUCAGCUGCUUCAAUAUCCACCUCAAAAUAAAUUAGCCUUUGUUCUAGAUUUAGCUUAAUGCUAAGUCCCUUCACCAUUCUUAGUAAUAAUUCAAUUCUGCCUCAAUUUUCUUCUGAUCUUCAAGGUAAAUGUACGAUAAAUUUCAAAAUAUAUCCCAAAUAUAUGAAUUUCUUGAAACCAUCCUUCAAUCUCACUACCUGCUCAACAAAAUGUUCCAUAAACACAAAUAUAUUAAUGAAUUUGGAGUUGAUUCGAAGAAUUGACGAGAACAACAGGGCUCCUUAGAUAAAUAAACAUAUUUAACCUAAUUAUGAAAGUGGAUUAGGAUUUGUAUGGCAUAAUUAUAUCACUUAAAAUGUUAAAGGGUUUAAUUAAAUACCUAUGAUCUCGAGAGCAUUGUGAGAUUUCAUUAGACAUAAUUUAGAUGUAUCGAAAGAUAAUUAAAACACCCUUACGUGAUACGUCUUUGACUUCUUAAGAAAAUAAUUGGAUAAUAAUUCCAAUUCUGAAUCAAAUUUUGAAACUCUAGUCUUUUGCUAAUUGUUUUCUCACCUAUAUCUUAUUUGAUUUGAUUAUUUAUUUAAUUUCUUAAUUAGUGAUUAAAAACCCUCUAAGUUUAAAUUUUGUUAUUUUUAUUAGAGUAAUUAAUGUAGGAAAAAUUAACUCAAUCCUAUAGGUUCGACUCUGGAGUACUCCAAGUGAAUUACUAUUUCGAUCGAUCCUAUACAGUUAUAGAAAUUCAUCGAUCACACAGCAAAAAUGAAAUAAAAUUAAUGCACAAUAAUGUCAUGAGCAGAAACUGGCAGGUUGUCGAAGCCUGUACAAUAAUAAAAUUAAACCUAAUUUCCAGUUAAAAUGACCAAAACCCAAUUCUAAGUACUGGAGUAGGGACUCUAGGUGUGCAAUGGGUUACUUGAUUCACCCUGUUCCCGAAGAGUUUGCUUGAUCCGAUAUACCGGAAUGGAAUGGUUAUUUUUUUUCACAAAUAAUUAUGAAUUUAUAGACAGGGCAAGUAGGGUCGUAUCCUCAGGGAUUGGGUAUAUUUGUUUCUUAAGAAAUCCAAAGUAACACAGGGGGAUGAUUUUGUAGGAACGACGACAAUCAAAUAAAUUCAAAUAAGAAAAUAAAAAUAAAUAACUAACUAUAAAUUAAACCACAAUUCACUGAACUUAGAGUAACAAUAAUUAAAGGCCUAAAUCAAUUAAAACAAGGAAACAAUUAAAAAUAAAAUAAAGUAGGCAACUAAAAGUCAAAUGGCAAUUCACUAAAAUCAAGGUAAUAUUAAUUAAAGAUCUAGCCAAGAAAUAACUUCAGCAAUGGUUCACCUAAUUGAUCAUCGAAGCAAAGGCAAUUCCAAUUAUUUAUCAAUAAAUAGGUUAUAACUACCAAACAAGCGAUGGCAGUCAACCCUUCCUUACUGGGUCGGUGAUUAAGGUACGCCCGUUAAUCACUGCUCUAAUUAGGAAAUAAUCCUAGGUACGUCCGUAAGAUUUAAUUCCCCAAUUGCCUUACGUAUUAGAGGAGCCCUAUUCUAACCAAAUAACGCACUACCAGGGUUAUUUCAGAUUAGCCCGAGUAUCCCCCUGACACAAAUCUAAUCGUGCCAGUUGUCACUAAUUUAAGGCAAUUAAAUAAUUACGGAUUUAAUGCCCUAAUUGACAAUAGAUUAUCAAAUCAAUUAAUUAUCCAGAUGCAAGACAAUCAAUUAAUUAAAUAAUCAUAAGCUUAGCAAUCUAGGAAUAUGCGAAUACCAAUAAAUAAAAGGAAAAGAUUAAAUUAAAUCGAUCUCACAAAUUUUUUGUGACCCAAAGCAUCCGUUGUUUCCUGACUAAAAGGGAGGAAUUAGUUCAUGUUUGAUGAAUUAAGUCCACCGGAAGUUGAAACAAGAGCCGCGACCAUUGUCACAAAAAUUGGGAAAUGCAAUUCGCUCCAAUCAAGAAAAGAUAGCAAAGUUACAAGAGGUAGCCCUCUGUUUCAUUUCGGAUGACAUACGAAAAAGCAAAAGCAAUUGCCGAUAGUUCAGAUGAAGAAAAGUCAAGGUUUUUCCAAGUUUGCUCCUGACAUACGUAGAUGAAUCCCACUGUCACAAGCUAAGGAAGAAAAGUCAAAGCUAAAGGAAAAAGGGAAGAACCAUAGUACUAGUUCUCUGCAUUCUCUAUUCUAUCUAAUGUCUAACUCCUCUCUCCCUCUGGUGCGGCGGCCAAAAGAAAAGAGGGAGCUCCCUCCGCUGUCUUCGCAGCAAUUUACCAAAAUGGCCAUGAGUUUGUUUCUUUUCCAGAAAUGCCCCCUAGGAUAAUCUCUGUUGCUUGGGCUCCUUUUCUACUAAAUUGAUACUUACUAUCAUAUUUCCGUUCUACUCACUGACAUACAUGCAAAAUAUCAAAAGUGAGCAGAAUCCAGCAAUUAAUUCACAUCAACUCAGAUAAUAAGGGAAAUUAAUAAUAAAAUAAACGAUAAAAUUGCAGCCUAUCAGAAACAGUUCCCAUCUUAGUUGUUCAACAUUCACGGUGGAUUUCAAUUAGUGGUAAAGAGAUAAAGGCAUCGAAAAAUGUAAUCUAAUUACUAGAUAAUUGAAUUUAUACUACAACAUAUUUCUUUUUUCUACCGCAAAAACAUAACUAAUUUAAGACAAUAUAGUCCAAGCUAAUUGAAGAUUAAUUUUCCCUAAAAAAUGUUCAUGAUAAAAACUCAACAAAGAGAUAAUACAAAAACUUACUUUUGGAGGUGAUGUUAUACGGUCUUUUUAACAAACUAAUUAGCCACCUAAGUCUUUUUUUUUUUUGGGACUACACAUGACAAAAUGAGGAGUGAAUCAGUCACUCAGUAUCUAAAAUUUUCCCUCCAUAUAAUUAGUUCAACCUGAUUUAAGACUAAAAUUUUUACCAUAGGAAUAUUCGUGAUUCAACAAUGAAACACCAUAGAAAUUUAAUUUGGGAGAUUGUCCUAGAAGAUAAAAAAUGAGCAACCAAUCAGAAAGUCGUACUCACAUAUCAAAAUCGAGUUAGUCUACUUAAUUCACCAGCUAUGUAUAUUUCAUCCAUUUUCACAUUAUAGAAAGAACAAUAAUGCAUGGCAUUAUCCAUCAUAAAUUGCUCAUAAAACAUCAAGAUAUUCAUGGUGUGGACCUCAAAUGACUCAUCGUGUCUACUGGCUACAUUUUAAACAUAUCUUAUGGCCAGAAUGUUCAUCUUAUCAACUUAACGAGUUUAUUCAUGGUACCAUACCAUUAAAUUAAAAAAGUUUCCACCUUUUACCUUUUAUAGAUGUCAAGGAAUAUAGCUAAUAACACACUUUUGGCAGCAAUCUUCCUUCACCCAAUUAAAGAUUUUCGGAGCUUAAAGUUCAGCUCCUAAAGCUCUUCUCCAAGUCUCACAAACCAACAGAGAAAUUACUUUUAGGAAAGUUGUUAAAUUUUGGCACACUAGGUUUUGAUGGUAUCUUGGUAAGCUUGGAAGAUUAUAUUGUGCUUCUAAGAUAAUGUUUAAAAAAGCUAUUUUAGUGACGGCAUUAUGGUCAAUUUGCCCCUGAUGAUAUUGAUAUUAGGUCCCAUCAACAUCAGAAGGGAGCUCAUUGUAUUAUUGGAUAUAACAAGGGUGGUAGUGAAAUUAUGAAAACCAUCAAGGGAGGUUUUUGAAAUUAACCCUAAAAUAUUCAUCCCACGCAAGGCGUGGUGUUCCCCCCUUUGUUCCUAUAAAUAGGGCUGCAACUCCAUGCACUUAUCACUCGAUAGCAAUAAUUUAGCACAUUACUUACAUUUUGAGUGAGCUUGUGAUGAAAUGGCACCUUCAAAAAAUUUGCUCUUUGUUUUUGGUGUUCUCUUUGCACUUGUGCUCCUCAUUUCCUCUGAUGCAACAGCUGCAGGUACCUUUCUUUUUUCCUUUCUUCCUUUUUUUUUUUUUGGCUGCACCUAAAUACUCAAAUGAAUGGAGAAUAGGAGACUCAUUAUUGGGAUGUGAAUUUUUAUGGAAGGCUAUUAGUAUAUUAUCAAGCAAGUCAUAUUAAUGUGCUAAUAUCUUUUUCAUUGUUUAGCAAAAGUAAAUCUUGGUUGCUUCCAUCAAUGGUUAGUGGCACAUCUGAUUUUUCAUGCAUCCUUAUAGUAUUGCUGUAAGGAUACACGUUCCAUAGUGUCACACUAAAGGUUAAACUAACGUUGAAAACCAAAUUAACUGCUUCUAAUUAUAAUUUAUUGAAUAGACUAUUAAAGCAAAAUAAUCCAUGUCCAAGUCGCACCAUCUUAUAUGCCUGGACUGUUUUGUUUAAUCCAUUGUAUUCUUUUCUUUGCAUAUAUCUUGCAAAUUUUCAGCCUAGCCGGUCACCUAACGUUCGCAGCUUAAGAUAAAGCUCCAAAUAUUAAUGUCUCCUUCUGUCUUGAAACAGAUCAGAAGAGCGUGAAAACCACUGGUGUCCACGAUGCCAGUUCAGGUCAGGUUCAUCAGGAUAGCAUAAGCGAAGAUCGUUGCAAAUAUCGUUGCUGCCGCUGGUACCAUGGACAGUGCCAAAAAUGCUGUCGAACUGCUGAGGAGACCCCUGAAGCUACAUCCGGAGAUGAGGAUACCGUAACCGCAGAUCGUUGCAGACAUGGUUGCUGCCGCUGGUACCAUGGAAAUUGCCAAAGAUGUUGUCCACCUGCUGAGGAGACCACUGAAGCUACAUCCGAAAAUGAGGAUACCGUAACUGCAGAUGGUUGCAGACAUGGUUGCUGCCGCUGGUACCAUGGACGCUGCCAGAGAUGCUGUCCAACUGCUGAGGAGACCCCUGAAGCUACAUCCGGAGAUGAGGUCAAAAAUUAAUGCUAAAUAAAUAAGGGUGUGACACAGGAUCCGUGACACCUAUAUUAUUACCUUAAUAUGUUGUGUUUGCCUUUGAUGGUUGAUUUCCUGUAUGUGUAAAAGACUUGUGCCACUUCUCUUUGAAUUGGUGUAGAAUCAACAGGGGAAGCACGUAAUGAGUACUCAGUUCGAGUGCUCUUCUUAUGUUGUUGUCAAGUUGAAUAAAUAAAUCUACUUGAUCAUCUACUACAAUUGAUGAUCUCUAUCUCAGUUACAUCAUAAACUUCUGUACCUUGGACCCGCUAGAAUUUAGUGUGAUUGAUAUAAGACGUGCAGAAUGUUCAAUAUAUGUAUAUAUGUGCUUCUUCAUCGCGCCAUGCCAUUACAAUGUGAAAGAAUUCAGCAUCGACAGAGUGAAACGUUCCCAAUCCUGCUCCUGAGAAAGGAAACAAAGUCCCUCAAAAAUGGAUAUUUUGGAUGCCAUCAAGUUUUUGAUUUGAAUGCCAUUUGGAGAUCUGAAUAUUGUUUUUUUUUCCUUUAUCUUCGUUCAAGAUUUUUUUGGUGGAAAUGCUUCAUUUAUACGAAUUUUCCUAGUUAGUAAAUGCUUCUAUUACACUUGUACAAUACACACUUAAAAGUAUAACACAAUAAAAGCUUGUGUAGUUCAUAUAUUUCAAAAAUAUUCAUACUUUUCAACUAAACUAUAAAAAUACGUAAUAAAUUCCUGGUACAUUAUACUUUACGAACAAGACUCUAAAUUUUAAAAAUAUUUAAUACUAUCACUUAUCAAUAACUCCACAUGUUAAUUUGUCUCCCAAUUCAAUAAACUAUAGUAGCUAAUUCUCAAAGCUAACCGACACCAAAAUUCCCUCACUUGUUCACCUCCUAGUGGAUUUAUACUAAUUACAUUGCAUUUAUUUUCUAAGCAUGAGUUUUGUAACCCCUCAUAUUAUUAAAUCUCAAUUAAUUGAUUUUAACGGUUACUAAGGCGUCUAGUAAUUGGUUUGCUAUUAAUUUGAACUAGACAUUUAUUAGGUCUAGUAGAAUUUAUUCCUUCUUAUCACUUAGUUCAUAAACCUUAUGAAUCGUUAAAACCAGCUCUAACAUUAGCUAACAAGACUUCUACAAUUUCGGGUUUUGCUUAGAAAUCAGUCUGAUAGUUUAACUUGCUUCGUCCAACUUUAUGAGUUGCUUUUUUUUUUCUUCCAUAUUUGACAUUUCAUCUGACUUUAAUAUGGGGACCAAGUUAGUAUUGUUGGCAUUUCAUAUCUAAGACUUCUUAAUUAAUUGAUUUGUUAUAAGAACUAUAACGUAUGCGUGUUUUGUAAGCUUUCAUGUUUUUUUUUUUUUUUUUUAAUUCUUGAGGACCAGCAACGGAUUAGUUUCUUCUAGUACCAAGCUUCCUUUGAAGUUCUUUAUUUUCUUUUUUGCGUAAAUUAAAAGAACCAACAACUUUGAACAAGCCUAUAUCUAGUAAAGAUAGAUAUAAAGAGGGAUACUAUAUAUACACAGAUUAUAUAAUUUUUUUUCAAAUGUAUGAUUAAAAGUUUAGUACAAAAAUACGAGUUUAUCAUUAUUAUGGAUAUAAUAUAAAUUCAUAUAUGAAUAGUAUGAAUAAAUCUAAAUGUUAUAGAAUUAGGUAUACAAGUGAAAUUACUAUAAUUUUGAAUGAUUAUGCUAGUUUUAUAUCAAAUUUAAUGCUGAUCCUUGUGUAUAUGACAUCAGAUUUAUUAAAGUUUUAUCACUUUUUUUACAUUUAUAUGUAUAAUCCAUCUAAGUUUGUUAUUUGACAAUACCAUUUUAUAUAUAACUCAAAAGGUACGUCAUUAUCUUGUCUCACUUUUUAAAAUUUAAAGUAUAAAUCAUAAAGGAUAAUGCAUCCAAAAAAAAGUAUAAUGCAUCAAGAAUUUAUUAUAUAUUUUUAUAGGUUAGGUGAAAAGAAUAAAUAUUCUUGAAAUACACGAACUACAGAACCUCUUUUGUGCUAUACAUAUAAACGCGUAUUCUAGAAGUAUAAUAGAAUUGUUUACUAACUAGGCAAAUUCGUAUAAAUGAAGCAGUUCCACCAAAAAAAUCUUGAACAAAGAUAAAGGGUUCAGAUCUCUGAAUGCCAUUCCAUUCAAACUCUUGAUAGCAUCCAAAAUAUCCAUUUGAAGGACUUCAGUUUCUUUCUCAUCAGGAGGGAACGGAAUUGAGUUUGACUCCGUCGAUGCUGAAUUAUUUUACAUUGUAAUGACAUGGUACGAUGAAGAAGCACAUAUAUACAUAUUAUUGAACAUUAUGAACGUCUUAUAUCAAUCACACUAAAUUCUAGUGUUCCCGAGGUACAGAAGUUUAUGAUGUAUAAGGGGUUUCCUCAGAAGUUCGACAGCAUCUGGUGCAUCGUCCAUGGAACCAACGACAGCAACCAAAUCUGCAACAAUCUACGGUUACGGUGUCCUCAUCUCCAAAUUUAUUCUCACGGAUCUCCUCAGCUGUUUGACAGCAUCUCGUGCAAUAGAUGGGGUACCAGCGGCAGCACGAAAUCUGCAACCAGUUAAGUGAUCAAUCUCACCUGAACUGGCAUCCAGUGGUCUUCAUGUUGUCGUGAUCUGUUUCAAGACAUAAAUAUUAGGAGCAUCGUCUUAAAGUCCAAAACGUUAGGUGACUGGCUAGGUUGAAAAUUUGCAAGAUAUAUGCAAAGAAAUGAAUACUAUGGAUUAAACAAAACUGUCUAGGGAUAUGAGAUGGUGCAACUUGGAUAUGAAUUAUUUCGUCUUAUAAGCUACUAAAUAUGACAUUUGGGUUUUGACGUUAGUUUAAUCUUUGUCGUGUUAAACAAUAGUGUGACAUUUUGGAACGUUUAUCCUUGCAGUAAUACUAUAAGGAUGUGAAAAAGAUAUUAGUACUUUAAUAUAACUUCCUUGAUACUAUACAAAUAGCCUAUCAUAAAAAUUCACGUCCCACUAAUGUGUCUCCUAAGCUCCAUUCAUUUAAGUAUUCAGGUUCAUCCAAAUAAAUAAAUAAAGGAAGGAGGAAAAAGAUUAGGUGCAUUCAGUUGUUGCAUUAGAGGAAUUGAGGAGUACAAGUGCAAAGAGAGCACCAAAAAGAAACAGCAAACUUUUUGAAGAUGCCAUUUGAACACAAUCUCACUCAAAAUCUAAAUGAUGUGCUAAAUUUAUUGAUAUCUAGUGACAAUUGCAUUGAGCUAAACAAUAUUUUGUUGAUAUCUAAAUGACCUCAUUUUUUAUGUUGAUGGGACCUAAUGUCAAUAUCGUCAAGGACAAAUUGACUGUAAUACCCUCAUUUAGAAGCAAAAUAUCAUAUUCCAAUUUUACCAACAUGCCAUCGAAACUUGUCACCAAAAUUUAACAACUUUACUAAAACUAAUUUUCUAAGGCUGGUGAGCUUUGGAGAAGAUCUUUAGGUGCUGAACAUUAAGCUCCAAAAUAUUUCAUUGGGUGAAGGAAAAUUGUUGAAAAAAGUGGCUUAUUAGCUUUAUUCUUUGAUAUUUAUAUAUAAUAAUUAAAAGAUGAAAACUUUUUUAAUUGAAUGUGGAUAUUCACAACAAAAUGAGGUACCGAAUGGAAGUUUAUGGUCUUCAUGAUUGAUGUGGUUCCAUGAAUAAACUCGUAGAGCUGAUAAGAUGAACAUUCUGGCCUUAAGAUGAGUUUAAAAUGUUGCCAUGGUAGACAUGAUGAGUCAUUUAAGGACCACAUCAUGAAUAUCUUGAUAUUAUAUGAGCAAUUUGCGAUGGAUAAAGCCAUGCAUGCAUGUGCUUUAUAUAAUGUGAAAAUGGAUGAGGUAGAUAAAGCUUGGUGAAGUAAAGUAAGUAUACCGAAUCGAUUUUGACAUGUGAGUAGGAUUUUCUGCUUGGUUGCUCUAUUUUAAGUGAUUAUCACUAUGUUGACAAAGAUCUUGUCGGACAAUCUCCCAAAAUAAGUUUCUAUCGUUUUUUUUUACUGAAUCACGAACAUUUCUUUAGUGAAAAUUUCAAUCUUAAAUUAGGUUGGACAAAUUAUUUGGAGGGAACAUUUUAGAUAGUAAGUGACUCAUUCACUCCUCAUUUUUGCAUAUAUAGUUGAAAGAAAAACAUAAGUUUAAGCGACUAAUUACUUUGUAAAUAAAGAUCGUAUAAGAUCACUUCCAAAAGUAAGUUUCUAUACCAUAUCUUUGUUGAGUCUUAUCAAGAAAAUUUUGGAGGGAAAAUUAAUCUUCAAUUAGCUUGGACUACAUUAGGCUACUACUUGGUUGAUUGUCAAUUUUAUCAUUUUUAUUGUUAUUAAAAAAUCCAUAAUGUGAACACAAAAGUAAACGAGGAUAUCACAAAAAUUGAUUAUCUAUAAUCAAAAUCUCUAAAUAAUUAAAAUAGUCAAUCAAAAACAAGCAUGUUGUAGUAUAAAAUUUUUUAGGUAGACUACUUUGUCUGUACCUUUAUAUGUUGACUACUAAUUGAAAGCUACCAUGAAUUUUGGAUAAAUAGGACGGACCUGAUUCUACUCAUGGCAUUAUUGUGUAUUCAAAAUUAUUUUUUCCUUUUAGCUGCUGUGCUUCAUGCCAUUUGGAAUAGUUCACUCCUUAUUUUAUAUUUUUUUCUUUUUUUCUUUUUUUGGAAAUAGCCCUUUUUACAACAUAAAUAUGUUACAAUAUUUCUUUUAGGGCCUAUAAAGGUAAAUAUGGAACAAAAUGUGCUGACACCAUUUCUUGUCAAUCUAUUGCAUUUCUUUUACGGACAUGGGCUAACUUGGUUACAAAACUAGUUAUAAGUAAGAGUGAUCAGCGUAAUAUCGAAAACAAGAGGGGCACUAGGUGAAAUUGUCCAAACAUUCAGGGGAAGUUUGUGAAAUUAUCCCAAUAGUUUGAGUACCUGCCCUGUUACUUGCAUUAGAGUGACCCUUUAUUAUUGACUAAUGCAGACGUCCAUGUCUGCAGUCUCAGGACGGAGGAAUAAAGUAUUUAUUGUCCUUGUACGAGUUAUAUAUAGUCUUUCUUGACUGCAAAAGUUGAUAAUUGAGCUAAAGAAUCGAAAGAUAAUGUGGCCAUUUUUCAAUCUCUGGAUAGGAUUAUAGUCUUUCAUGAUUUCUAAAGUGGAUAGUUGAGCUAAAGAAUAAUAAGAUAAUGUGGCCAUUUUUCAAUCUCUGAUAGGAAGGAUAUCAAUCUCCUCCUUUUCCGUCUUCAUGUCUGGAUUGUAUAUCAAUUUCUUUUUCUUUUUCGUUUGUUGGUUAGGUAAACUUUCAUUUUCAUCAGUCUAAAGGCCUAAAGGUCCCUGCCCAUUUCAGAAAUUUACCGAUUUUAAGUGGGCGUAAUAGAGCUUUAAUUAACUCUAUCAAGAUCUUUAUACAUUACGAGCAACUUUCCUGUUAAAAUACUAAUUCAAACAAGCUGUGCAAAUUCAAGGAUGGAACUAGAUUUUGAAAAGGAAUACUUUACACUUCAUAAGAAGUACUGAAUUCGUGGAUUAAUUUUCUUGUGCUAUUGCUUUAAAGAUUUAUUUACAUGAGUAGAUUUGAAUGCGCGAUAAGUAAUUGUGAUUCAAACUUGAAGUCAUAUUUUUGCACAUGAAAGAAAUAGUCCAAAAUAUUUUUUUUUUCCUUUUUAGAACUCUACAUGUAGCUUUAACUUGACUAGUCCUAUAACUAGUCAUUGAUGAGUAUGAGGUAUGCAUAUAAUAAUUAAGCCCAUUUCAUAGUUAAAUUUUAUAUUUUUAAAUUUUUAAAUAUCCCACACGUGAUUUUCUGCAAGUAUACAGGUUAAGAUUGAGCAUAGGGUAUUAAGGGUCAAACCCACAGGGAAGAUUGUCAAUGACCGAUGAUUUUCAAACUCAUUUAUUAUUUAAACUAUCACAAGUGCAAGAAAUUAAAUCUACACAAUAAACAUGAGAUAAAAGUAAUAAAAAUAAAAAUAAGAAACUUCUAAAAUUACGGAAUUCCUAACUACUUUUGCAAGUGAAGUUACCGAUUAAGUGAAUGUUAUUAUCUUGCCUAAUUAUGACAUAAUUUCCUAAUAUAUGUGAAACAUACUCUCACAAUAAAUUAACUAUACUUGUAAUUAAGCCAUAUCUUCUCAUUCAAACAAGCUGUGCAAAUUCGAGGAUGAAACUAGAUUUUGAAAAGGAAUACUUUAUACUUCUUAAGAAGUACGGAGGUCAGGGAUUAUUUUUCUUGUGCUAUUGAUUUAAAGAUUUAUUUAAAUUAGUAGAUUUGGAUGCGUGAUAAGUAAUUGUGAUUCAAACUUGAAACCAUAUAUUUUGCACAUGAAAGGAAUAGUCCAAAAAUUUUUUUCCCCUUUUAGAACUCUACAUGUAGCUUUAACUUGACUAGUCCUAUAUCUAGUCAUGGUUAAGAAGUUUCAGAAUAUUGGUGAGGUUAUGCAUGAUAAAUUCUGUAUUUAUCCAUUGCUUUGUUAAGCCAAUCUCUAGACAGGUUUGUACUUAUUAAUUCCUUUCGCCAUCUAAACUCAAAGAUAGAACGUAUUAAUAUGUGUCAAUACCAGAAACCAGAAAAACUCGACCACUAGCUUAUCGAACUGAAUUUAGGUCAUUAAUUUUUUUAUGCCCAUCAACUUAAGAAAAGCAACAUAUCAUGCAGAUUAAUAAGUGCAGUUCACUCCAUAGGGUAAAAUAUAAUGUGAAUAGAAUUAAAUCUCUAAAUGUAUAUCCAAGAUAAAAACGCAUAUGGUUGAAACGAUUUGUACUAAAUUUGUUUGAAAUUGCAGGGCUAUAAGUCGAAAAUGUUGAGUGCAUGAAAAGCGUGGAAGACUAUGUACUAACUUGACAAAGUGACUUAAAUUUGAAUAAUUAUGACAACAUUUUAUAAUUUUUGUGGGUCAAAUUUUGUUUUAAUCUCUUACAGUAACAAGCUUGCUUUCAUUUUUUUUUUUUUUUUUUGCUUGUUUGGAUCAUGGCCAGUCCAUAAAUACAAUAAAAACCCACCAACCUUUACUCAUAUAUAUAUAUAUAUAUAUAUAUGUAUGUAUGUAUAUGUAUAUGUAUAUAAAAGCACUUCCACCUCAAAAUUUACAAAAAAGGGAAGAAAGAAGAAACCCUACUCGUUCUCUUCCGGUGCUAUACGUUUAUCAGAAUAAAGGUCGAAUCUUGCAAAAUAUCAUUCUUGAAAGCAUUCAUUGUUCAUACUUUUGUCUUACGUCAAAGUUAGACAUCUUGCAAUUCAUAAAUUUUCAUGCUUGACAACUCUUUUAGAUAAGAUUGAUGUUCCUCUGAAUAUCAACAUUUAAUUUUUUUUUUUUUAGUAAGUUGUACCGUCGAUACCGAAGAACUUUGAUUCCUUUCUCAGGAAGGAAUAGGAUUGGGUUUAACUCUUGUCGAUACUGAAUUUUUUUACAUUGUAAUCACAAGGAAUGAUGAAGAGCGCGCGCACACAUAUAUUGAAUAUUCUGCACAUCUGAUAUCAAACACACUAAAUUCUAGCAGGUCCAAGGUACAGAAGUUUACGAUGUAACUGAGAUAGAGAUCAUCAAUUGUGAUGAUGAUCAAGUGGAUUUAUUUAUUCAACAUGACAACAACAUAAGAAGAGCACUCGAACUGAGUACUCAUUACAUGCUUCCCCUGUUUAUUCUACACCAGUUCAAAGAGAAGUCUUUUACACAUAGAGGAAAUCAACCAUCAAAAGCAAACACAACAUUACAUAUUAAGGUAAUAAUAUAGGCGUCACGGAUCCUGUGUCACACCCUUAUUUAUUUAGCAUUAAUUUUUGACCUCAUCUCCAGAUGUAGCUUCAGGGGUCUCCUCAGCGGUUGCGCAGCAUCUUUGGCAUUGUCCAUGGUACCAUCUGCAGCAACGAUAUCUGCAACGAUCUGCAACUUCAGGGGUCUCCUCAGCGGUUGCGCAGCAUCUUUGGCAUUGUCCAUGGUACCAUCUGCAGCAACGAUAUCUGCAACGAUCUGCAGAUAUAGCUUCAGGGGUCUCCUCAGCGGAUGCACAGCAUCUUUGGCAUUGUCCAUGGUACCAGCUGCAGCAACGAUAUCUGCAACGAUCUGCAGAUAUAGCGUCAGGGGUCUCCUCCGCGGAUGCACAGCAUCUUUGGCAUUGUCCAUGGUACCAGCUGCAGCAACGAUAUCUGCAACGAUCUGCAUUUACGGCAGCCUUAUCUCCAGAUGUAGCUUCAG
rnacentral:lncRNA from 1 species